GGACGGCUGCGCUGGCCCGGGAGCGAGGGAACCCUGCAUAGGACUUGGGGUCGUUCGGCGCAGUUCCAAGCGUGUCUGGAGUUGGGGGACAGAGGGGCGCAUCGGUCUCAAACCCCUCGCGCGGAGGGGCGACCGUCCCGAUCCCCAGGAGACCUGGUCCCACGGUAGAGGGCAGUGACGCAGUUUCUCCCGGCGGCUGCUGCAGGAGUCGCAAGGCAGGGACAGCUCAGACCGCAGGAGGAGCGGCGGGGGGAAAAGGUUGCUGCGAGGAGCUUCACCUCGGAGCCCAGGAGGCCCCCGGGACCAAGGAGCGCACCGGCUGAGAAAGAGGACUCCAUCCAGUCGGAGACCAACAGCGGUCAUCUGGGGGGCCUGGCGGCUGGCGCUCGUUCCCACCUGCCAGCCUCUCCCCUGCCCAGGCCAUGCCAGUCCCGCAUGCUGCGAAGCGCUUUCCACUCCCGCAGCUGCGCGUCUCUCCAGGAACCAAGGUGGAGAUGCCCUCGCCUGGUGGUCAGUCUCUGAGCUCGAGUCCCUUUUACCCGCCCUUCCUUGCCUGCCUAGAUCGUGGACUCUCCGCAUUCCUGGGAAGACCUUCCAGAGCUUUCUGAAGCGGGUGCCAGACAGAGCGGCAACGCCUUCGGCCCAUAGCCGGCGUAGACGCGACCCUCUGAUCCCGUUUGGCCGCUUGCUGAGACUCGCAGCGGGAGGUGUUCGGCUCGGAGUCCGGGAGAGGGAGUGGAGGG